GGCCCCGUAGCUCAGGGGAUAGAGCGUCGGUCUCCUAAACCGAGAGCGCAGGUUCGAGUCCUGCCGGGGCCACCA
rnacentral:tRNA from 1 species